GUAUCUGCGGCGGCGACGGCGACGCCGGCGGCGGUGGUGGUGGUGACGUUGAUGGUGGUGGUAGUGAUAGUGGUGGUGGUGGUGGUGGUGAUGGUAGUGGUGGCGGUGAUGCUGGAGGUUGCGCUUUCUUCCGCGAAUGUUCUCCUUCCGCGUUGAGCGAUGAUCGACAUAUCACUCUCGCGCAAAAUGUGUGCGACCCUCUAACUCUUACAGUCGCCACAAAAAUCCUCGUAUAAUCCUCCAUUUUUUUACUAUUUAGUACAAAACUGUAUCUGUGUUUUUCUGUUCAUGACAAUUCUCGUACUUUUUUUCCGAAAUAAAAAAAUAUAUAUUACACGUAAGAAGCGUAUAUAAUCGUUCUUUUUUUUUUAUGAAGGUCUAGUGACUGUGAAGCGCUUAUUCACUUCUGCAGUACUUCAACCCUUCAGCGCGUCGUAUGGGACAUCAUUGACAUAAUCGACGACGAUCCAAGUCGGGAAUAAAAGAAUGAUCGAGAGCCAUUUGUUUUUUAACGAAACUCCCGACUUGUGGUUGGGACAUCUCUGCUGAUAAAGCCGAGUGCUUGUCGGCGCGUUGGAGGAGCGGCAUUGUUGUGCGACGAAACGUCGAUACAUCCGUUCCUUGACGAUUCAAUAUUCAUCUACCCUCUCAUUCACGAUGCGUCGCAAAGCCAAACGCCGUUAGCCUCGAGGUCAUUGUUAUCGCACCUCGCGUCUACCAUCGCGGUGCUUUGGUGUCGAAGAAGUGAAUGAAUAUCGCUCGAGCAUCCGCUUGAUCGAGGAGGGGAGCCUUAGAAGAGGAUCCUUACGGGGAACAUAUGGGAUUUCCUACGGUCGAUCACACUGCCGAUCCGCUCGAACGUGAAAUCGGAUCCAACCGCGAGAACGAGUUUAGACGCGUCGUCAUAGUGGUGCGAUCCUCUAGCCUCCCGACCUCGGUAUAAGGGUAGGUGUAACGGUAAACGGAGCUUCCGAAUCGCUUGGUUACACAUCCAGAAAACCGAUAUCUUGUUGCGCGUAAUACUUGGCGUAAAUAGAUCGGAGCCCGUGUCACGUCAGAUCGCGCCACAAGAGAGAGAGAGAAAGAGAAAAAUCUUGAGUGAAAACUUUAUAUACCUUGAAUUCACUUUGGAGUUUUAUAAGUGUUUCAGGCAACAGGCAUCUUUCGGUGACAAGAAUUGUACAUUUCUUAUCGUAUGCAUUUUGCUCUUUUUGUGUAUUUUUAUAGUAUAUUUUUAUAUUUAUCAUCAGAGCGAAUUAUUAAAAUCGAGAUACCGAGUCGGCAAAUAUUUUCCUAGUGACCUAUCGCAUUCUCGGGUGCCCGCGACCGACGUGCCUUUUCACAAACAAACAUUAAAGCGCAUUUCUGUCCACGAUAGAAGUUCCGUCUCGCUCUGUUUAUUCUAAGUAUCUCACGCUCAACUAGACAAGAAAAUCCCCACGGCGCUCGCCCGCCGUAAUUAAUGAUACCCUACGGGAAAGGAUUAACGUGUACACAAAGUAUGCACAUUAGUGCCCGAUCGGAGUUCGGCAUGCAUCGCGAUAACGUUUAAGGCGCUCUCCAUGCCGGGCAUUAAGGUGGCUGCAGCAGCAUCGAAUGGCCUUAAUCCGGAUCUAUAUAGCACACCGGUGUGCGGCUGCCAUUAUGCAUUAUACUCACAUGUAUAUCGGUUCGCCGCGACGUCGAAGCUUGACUUAUGCCGAUGGCCCUCACUCGCAGAUGGUUAUCUCUCGCCUUUACGAGAGAGAGCCGAUCCCUACGUAGUCCGUGCAAGCGCAACGUGCUUAAGCGAUUUAACGUAAACACACGUAGCAAUUUGUCCCGGGCUUUAUGUCGCCCUCGGGAAAAAGGAACCCACGCGCUCGUUCCGUACAGUUCGGAAGAGAGAGAGGGAGAGAGAGAGAGAGAGAGAGAGAGUGAAAAAGACGUAGGACGUCCGUGAGGCACGAGAGAAACUAUACGAGAGGAGAGGAAAAAAAGGAGAGCACAACGUAGGACGCAGGAACAAUACGCGGCUCGUUUUCUUCCUUCGACGAUAUUUUACGGGUGAAAAUAACGGAGAAAGGCGCGCGCGCGCGCCCGCGUUUCAUUAACAGCGGCGAGCUACGUGUGACGUCUUGUUCGGGCGAGAACCUCUUUCGGGGGCAGCCAAUUGCGAUCGUCCAUUUUUGCGUUAGCGUGAAAAUCAACGCUUGGGUAAAAGCGAAUGAAGAAAUAAAGUGGGCGAGUUUAUCAUCGGGUAUUGAGGCAGGUCUUCGCUCGUAGACAUUACGUCAUAUCGACGUACUCCGUGCGGCGUACGCGGCGGGGUAUGAAUUACCGCGUGCUUGUUCCCCGCGUGUAGCACGUUGUAUAUCACGCCACAUCUAGAUAAGCCGCCGUUGGAAUUAUUAACGCGCGUGGCUGCCGCGAUGACUCGGGACGCUCGUUUACAUUCGCAGUUUUACGCGAAAAAUUAGAAGGCGUAACCUAUCUCGCCUGCCCGCAGUCAUCUAAAUCAUUAUCGGACAGGCCGAAUGGGGGAAUCACGAUUUUAAUAUUGAGACUCGGAUUCUUUUCGCGGAGACGAGAAAAUAUAUAUGGACGCACGUUGAAUAUACGAAAGUGCACGAGCCCCAAAGAGACGCGAAAAACUCGACGAAGUAAAUCUCUCCCCUUCUCUCAUUCCACGCGUUGACGUGUUAUCAAUCGCGAAUAAUAUUAAUUAGUCAUUUCGAAUGCAAACAAGAUACGGGAUCGGACCGCAUAUCGCAUAUUGUUACAGCCGUCUUUGUUCUAUGUCACGGCAUAACAUAAUGCACAGGCCAUGGGGGCGUUUCGUGUCGAGCGACGUUUAGUGGAAAUCACAAUUCGCAUAACGAGAUAAUCGGCAGGCGUAAUUAAAAACAAUGUCGCGUCACGUAUGAUUAUGCGCGGCUUGCAAACCGGUGACAAUGAAUAUUGCCCGAUUGCCAAACAGACACCGCGCGUAAUUGGCUUCCGCGUUGCGGCCGUUAAACGCCGGACGAUAAACACGCUUAACGCGUAUCGUCAAAUAUGUCGCGCGAUGAUCAAUGCGAUUGACAGAAUGCGCGGACAACGGCGAGCGCGUACGUAUAGCGACGCGGCCGGCGAUUUAAUCAUUAAAUGCGACGGCAGCGGCCGGUGGCAUAAUCCGCGACAUUUGCUCGCAAAUGAACUUCGUCCGCCGUUCGGCAAGGCGUGAAACGCUCGCGAAGUCACGCGCGUGUCGGGCGAAUUGAAGGUGCCGCGAUAUGUCAUUUCGGCGAAGCGGCUUGAUAGAAAUGCGGACCGCGUCCGCGUGACCGCAUUCGCGGGCCACUAUUUUCGACCGGCUGCAAGCCAAAGACCCGCGGCAACGCUGCACCGUGACGAUCGAUUAUUAAUAUACCUCUUCGGUGUAAAUUAUAUAAUAUCGUCGGUCCUCUAUUAUUUCCACCCUUUUCGCGCGAGACCUUCUGAAAAUUUGACGCGUUCUGCCACGCGAUUUGUCUCGACGAUAAAAAUAGGAAUGAGAUCGUAAAUUAUUUCGUCGAUAAUAACUUCGCUAUACGAAUCGUGUACAAUAAAUCCAUGCCCAACUGUUCCGUAAAUUUAUUUUUAUCUGUAAUUGCUUUUCAGUUUGCGUAAGAAACUUGAAAUUUAUUUAAAGAAAGAGAAUAUAGCUCUUCCGGAUAUGGUAUAUAUAAUUCUCUUCCCCCCAUGUACAAAGACAUCGCAUCACCUCAAGUCAUUCCUUCGCACAAUUCCAUUGAUGUGAUACAUUGUAUAAGUACAGCGUUGUGCGAUCUGCUGUAUUACUUCAAAUCGAUAACCGUGCUCCUCGCUACUCUCUUGGCGUCUGUCUAUACAUUUUAACGGAACGCCAUUGCGAGCGUGCAGCUGUUGUCUUCGCAAACUCGAGAAAACCCGCGGCUAUCCCUUACAUAUAUCCGACGAAAAAUAAGUCAUGACGAGAAAUAAGAAGACCCGGCCCUCUCGUACACGGCUCGCACUCGCGGCGAUGUCAUUCGUUUUGGAAGUACGUGGUGUGCAACUGUUAUUAAUUCAAUGAGUGCUAAGGGGACCCAAGGACCAACCGCCGAGAAAGCCGGAAUGCCUAUUAGCCAUCGGUUAUUCAUGUUGAAAGUUCGUCGCACGCAAAACAGCGUGCCGCAGCUGCCUCGACGGAACGGCAUUGGUCUUGCAACGCCAAGAAGCGUGUAAUCAGCAGGAAAAAGUGGAUAUUGAUGCGUGAAUAUUUUGUUGUACAAGAAGACUAAUAAAACAUUCGGUUAAGCAGA